rnacentral:rRNA from 1 species
CAGUAGCCGCGGUAAUACGAGGGGGGCAAGCGUUGUUCGGAUUUAUUGGGCGUAAAGGGUGCGUAGGCGGUUUGGCAAGUCUUGUGUGAAAUCUUCGGGCUCAACCCGAAGCCUGCACGAGAAACUACCGGGCUAGAGUACUGGAGAGGUAAGCGGAACUACAAGUGUAGAGGUGAAAUUCGUAGAUAUUUGUAGGAAUGCCGAUGGGGAAGCCAGCUUACUGGACAGAUACUGACGCUAAAGCGCGAAAGCGUGGGUAGCAAACAGGAUUAGAUACCCGAGUAGUCCCUGUCUCUUAUAC